AAUGGGGGCCAAGUAAGUCCUAGAGACAUGCGUGUACCCUGGGAGGGAGCCUGAGGUUCAUCAUCCAGGAAAGAAACCAAAUCUAAUGCUCCUUACCUGUGAGCCUGAGGUCACACUGCAAGGUAGGGAUCAAACAGGGAGCAGACCUCAGGUUUACUGUCGCUUUCUCCACUGCCCAGUCCAUCAUCCAGAAGGCUGUGCAGGGUGGGGGCAGGAAUCAGAGGGCCUGAUGGGGGUUGAGGGUGGGCUGGAAAUGGUGGGAAUAUAAUUGGAGAAGAUGGAUGGGCACGCCCAGGCUGCAGCCCCAUUAAUUUACCAUCCGGACAGCUAACAAGCAGAAGCAGCGUGUCUCCUGCCGCCUAAUUAUUUUAGGUAUACUAUACGUAUCUGGGAGGAUUAAGAGAUAGGACUGCGUGAACUAAUUCACAGCAGGUACUUAGUCGAUGCCUGGUACACAGAAGGCACAAGUCCAAUAAACAGUAGCUGUUGGCCGGGCACAGUGGCUCACGCCUGUAAUCUCAACACUUUGGGAGGCCAAGGCAGGAGAAUUGCAUAUGUCCAGGAGUUUGAG
rnacentral:lncRNA from 1 species